rnacentral:lncRNA from 1 species
GCUGUUAUCCCGACCCGUGCCACGCUCGACACCACCUUCCCCAACAAGACCACUCACACGCCUCUGUAUCUCCCUCUUCAUCCAAGCUUCCUUGUGCUCAUUUUGCGUCAGGUCUCAGUGGCUUGGCGUCACCUUUGAUUCUUUGUGCUAUUUGUUGUCUCCUGUGUUCAAGCAGUUGCCAUUUGCUGUUGUUUAUUUGUUUAAAAUAUCUCCUCCCUUGGGCUCGCACUGCUUCCUACAGCUGAGUCUAGCAUCUCACUAAGUUCCCGUUGAUAACAUGAAAAUACUUUGUAUGUCUGUUUCCUUUACUCACCUAAGGAGGGCUGCAUGUACAUAGGUGGACACAUUCUGAGGAAGACUUCAGACUCUGCAGCUCAACUGGCCGGAAGGGUGAUCACUGACGGUCCCAUUCCAUUGUCCCUUGUCUGGAAAAUCACUUGUGUCAUCACUGUUAACUAAAAAAGACGUAAGGUGACUGUAUACUCUGGAGAACUCAGCAUGAAAAAAAUACUCAAAUAGAGAAAUUAGGUCAGAGUUCCUGUUGUGGCUCAGCAGGUUAAGGACCCACUAUAGCGUCUGUGAGGAUGCGGGUUCGAUCCCUGGCCUCGCCUAGUGGGUUAAGGAUCUGGCAUUGCCAUAAGCUGUGACGCAGGCCACAGAUGUGGCUCAAAUCUGGUGUUACUGUGCCUGUGGUGUAGGCCAGCAGUUGCAGCUCCAAUUCAGCCUCUAGCCCGGGAACUUCCGUGUACCACAAGUAUGAACAUAAACAGAAAAACUGGAUGAACUGAAGAAGCAAGAACGUCACUGCUGAGACCAGCUCAGCAGCUGAGGGCUGAAGAACGGGUGCUGUGAAACUUAAGAAAAAGUUAACAUAAAACAAGACACAGAGACGUUUAUCUUAAUUAAAAGUGGGAAGUGGGGGCUCAAGCUCUUAGGGAAGAGCGCCCACCUCAAGAAACCACUUUUAUUGCUUUUAUUGUGCUCUUUUGGAUGACAUCAACUGAGGAGGGGGCUAUAGGUGCAGGAUAUAGGGUUUUUUUUAUAUUAUUAUUUUAAAAGUUCUUUUAUUAUUUUAAAAGUCACAUAGCUGGUAUAUGGUUAAGCUUUUAUUCUGACCUUUAGGCAUUUAACAGUCACUAGCAUCCAGGAAGCUUAGCGUCAGCUGUCUACGCAAAGCAUCUAGAGAAUCAUCGUUGUGCUUCUGCAAACAGCAUGCCUAUCUGCAGCAACCUGGGGCGCCUAGGUUUGCAUCUCAUUCUCCUUGCUGAUGCGUUUUCUGCUAAUGACCCCUCAUAAACCCCUUGGGGCCAUGAGGUUCCUCUUUCUCUUAUUUUAACAGGACAUAUCAUGCUGUGCAAACAGUGUGCCAAUGUGCACAGGUCCGGCGUGCCUAGACCAAUGCAUUCUGUCCUCCUUCAGCUGACCGCAUGAGUAACUUAGGCCUUUUGGUCUUUGCUCUUAAGCUUAAGUCGUUUGCCAGCACUGCGACUGUUUUUCAAUCAGGAAUAUGGGGUAAAGUAAAGCAGGACAAGAUGGCGUUUUCAGCAUAGAAAAUAGAAGCAAAGAGGCUAGGAAAAGAUGGUAGAGACGUGUCCCCCAACCUUUCACCUUGCAGGAUUUGGGAAUGCCAUGGUCUGCAAAGCAUCGCUCAUGUCAUGCGUGGCUCCACCGUCAGACGCCUGAACACAUUUAUGAGUCAUUUCCAUUUAGAGCAAAUGGGUGCCUCAGAAUCUCAGAGGGAGCCGGUCGUGUAAGGUUGAGGAUAAAGGUAAUUAUAAUCUACUGUCACACACACCCACACACACACACACACACACACACACACACACGAGUUUGAAGAAAGAGGAAGCAUGAAGAAACUGACUUUGCCUUCUUGACAAUUUUGAAAGCCUGGAAUAAAUCCUGAAUGCCGUUACUGUUCAUUCAGCAAGUAUCUGACGAGGCGCCCAUGACGUGUCCAGCUCUGUGUAGAAGGAACUAGACACAGCAAAGUGAGCCAAAUGGACAGCGUUUCACUUGCUUGAAACUUAAAUUCUAGAAAGAGGGCAAGACAAAAGACAAAUAAAAAAAAAAAAUAGGCGUUAAGAGAGUGAUGUUUGAUAGGAAGGAAAUAAAACAGGAUGCUCCAGAGGUCAUAUGAUGCUCCAGAUGCUCUGGAGGUCCUAUGGCUCUAGAGUUGCAGGUAGAGUUCAGCCCUAACCCUAACCCUAACCCAUUGAAGGUGGCUGCAACUCAGAUUGGAUGGUCAAGGAAGACCUCUUGGUGGCGUUUAUGUCUGACCUGGGACCCAGAUGAUAGGAAGACACCUGCCAGCGGGAGAUCUGAGAGAAGAGCAUUCCAAAGAGAGAGGGAAUUAGCUUGCAGAGAUACAGCCAUGAGAAGGAACCCAUUGUGUUCAGGGAACAGCCGGUGUGGCUGGAGAAAAGAGGACCCUAGGGGGUGAAAUCUGAGCCGGUGAAGCCUGCAGGGUUUGGAGGGUGGUGGUCGCAGAGUCGGGGGCUCCGCUGCAGGGCUCUAAGUUCGGGUGUAACGCAAUGUGAUUCGUACUCUCUGGAGCCCCCUCAGGCUACUUGCUGUGCGGAGAAUGGGUUGUGGAGGGAAAGAAGACACUUCCUGAGCAGCCCGUUGGGGAAUCUAAAUGAGAGAUGAUGAUGGCGUGAGCUAGGACUGGGGCAGUGGGGUUGGAUGGAUGUGGUUGAGUUCAGAUGAAAUUUGGCCUUGGGGUCUUUUUGCUGCUGGAUCAAACAGAUGUUGGCAGAGAGAGGAAGAGGAGCUUAGGAGGUCCUGAGCUCUUUGCGUGAGCAUGGGGGUCACUCAUGGUGCCAUAUUGAGAUGAGAGAUGGGCAGGACCAGUUCUCAUUGGGCAUCUUGAGAUGCCCAUUUGGCAUCUCAGUGGGAGUUUCAGAUCAGCUGGAAGUCAUUUGAGUCUGGGCUUCCAGGUAGAGUUCAAGUCUAGAGACUUAAAUGAGACCACGGCUGACUUAUUUAAAAGCAGGACGGAGAGACUGGGUAUGACUUCCUAGGAGGAGAACGGGGAGAGAGAGAGGGAAAAGCAGAGUUCCUAAUCGCUCCUUCUAAAAAUACUCUUAAAGGGGGUUCUCCUGCUUUCUUGCUCAGUGAUUCGAAAGCAUUUCCAUUUUUCAUUGGAAUGUAAUUCACUUUAAUAUUUGCUACAUUAAAAAUCCCACAUCCUUUCUAGCUACUUCAGUCCUCCCUGAUCUGCUCAUGUUCUGACAGUUUGUGUCCUUCUGGCUAAUUAGCCAUAUCCGAAAGGUGUCUGGCUUUGGUCCUUAGCUGUUGGAAGGUGAUCUCUGGGCAUCUGGAACAUCCUGCCCCCCAGAAGUGUCUUUGUGUGCCUGGGGGCUUUGGCCAUUGGACAGUCUAACAGUGUGAUUCAUGCUGGGGUCACUGGGCCGCAUGGCGUCAGUUCUGACCUCGGGAGGGAUCAGACACCAAAGGAAGUCACCCCACCUCAGGGAGAAGCUGGACCAUAAAGGCCAGUCCUGCAGGCGGCAUGGGAUUGAGUCCCCGUACAAACUCUGGACGCCAAAGGCCGAGGGGAGUUUCCCUGGCAGGUAAUACUGCAUAGUGUCCAUGUAGCGACGAGCAGGAGUUAAUUUUGUUCGUGAGUCCACAGGGAAAGGAUAACGGAAGGCUUUGCGUUUGCAAAUUUCCUGGACUCUGCCCUCUGCGUCCCUUCUCUUGGCUGAUUUUAAUGUGUGCUCUUUCCGUGUAACGAGCCACAACUGUGGGGAGAACAGCUUUCAGUGAGUUCGGAAGUCCUUUCAGGGAGUCAUCAGACCUAAGAGUGGCUUUUGGAAACCCCUGUUGUGGACUGAAUGUUGGUGUCCCCAGAUUCAUAGGAGGAGACCCCCGUCCCCAGCGUGGUGGCCUUUGGAGGCGGGGCCUUUGGCAAUUAAGUCACGGGGUGGGUGGGAUGAGUGCCCUUAGAAGAGAGACCCCAGCAACAUGCCCCGUCCCUCCUGCCACUGGGGGCCACUGGGAGAAGACAGCGGGCUGCGAGCCAGGAGGUGGGCCCGCAUUAGACACCGAGUCCGCUCGUGCGUCGAUCCUGGCCCGCUCAGCCUCCAGAACCGGGAGGAAUACUUGGUUGUGGUUAAGUCAGCCCACCCAGCGGGGGCGUUUUUCUUCCAGCGGCCUGAACGAAGACAACCCCUGAAUUUGCAGUUGGUGUCCUGCGUGGGCAGUUCUAACUCGUACUUGGCUCUCCACGUCCCAUUUUCAUUUUGGUGGUUAAUCACAUUCUAUUUCCUGGUUUUGAAGCGAUUUCAUGUGUUUUUAUGUCUUCUGCCCCGAGACUGGGUCUCCGAGAGAGCUUCCAUUUCUUUUGUAUCCUCAGCGCUCGGCACACGUCUGGGGGCUCUUCAUAAGUUCUCAGAACACGCGUUAAAUGCCACCACCAGGUUAAGUCAUUAUCUUUCCUUUCCUUUUCUAGUGGUUAUUGUACUGCUUAAAAAUCCGUGUGGGGGAAUUUGGACUUGGUGUAAUUUUUCUUCUCUGUGUGCGUUAAGAUGAGGAGGGGCUGUGUAUAUGUGUUUAAGGGGGUGUCCAGAAAGAAGAUGGAAGAGGAAGCUGUUUUUCUGAAUGAGAUUUUCUCCAGAGUUUGACUUGCAGUCAGUAAAUGCUGUAGCUCUGUCUUCCUGGUGUAUAGGGCAUAGAUUUUGGGCAGGGGUGUGUGGGGGCUUUCUUCGGUAGUGGGAAGCAUCCCAGCAGUUCAGAGACAUGCAUGAGGGAAUUUGGGGUUUGUUUCACGGAGAAACUUUGCAUCCUUAGUUCUCUGUUUACUGUCCUGGCACUUGCCCUAUAGCUACACUUCCCAUCGUGUAGGCUUCCCACUUCCCGUGUGGCUACUGAACCCUGGAAAUGGGGCCAGUCCAAGCUGAGAUGCACUCUAAGUAUAAAAUACACCCUAGAUUGAAAACACUCAUACAAAUACUGGGUUUUGAAGUUGUUGUACAGAAAAAGGUAAACUAUUUCUUUCAUGAUUUUUACACACUGAUUCCAUAUUGCCAUGACAGUCCUUUAAAUAUACGGGUUAAAUAAAAAAAAUUAAUAAAAUGAAUUUUACCAAGUUCAAAAUAUGGAUGUUAGAAAUGCUAAAAAAAAAAAAAA